AGAGUUUGAUCCUGGCUCAGGAUGAACGCUAGCUACAGGCUUAACACAUGCAAGUCGUGGGGCAGCGGAUGCUUAGCUUGCUAAGUAUGCCGGCGACCGGCGCACGGGUGAGUAACGCGUACCGAACCUGCCCAUCACACAGGGAUAGGCUUGCGAAAGCAAGAUUAAUACCUGAUGGUCUCAGUUGUAUGCAUGUAUGAUUGAGUAAAGCCUUCGGGCGGUGAUGGAUGGCGGUGCGUCCCAUUAGGAAGUUGGCGGGGUAACGGCCCACCAAUCCUUCGAUGGGUAGGGGUUCUGAGAGGAAGGUCCCCCACAUUGGAACUGAGAUACGGUCCAAACUCCUACGGGAGGCAGCAGUGAGGAAUAUUGGUCAAUGGGCGAGAGCCUGAACCAGCCAAGUAGCGUGCAGGAUGACGGCCCUAUGGGUUGUAAACUGCUUUUGUAUGGGGAUAAAGUUAGGGACGUGUCCCUAUUUGCAGGUACCAUACGAAUAAGGACCGGCUAAUUCCGUGCCAGCAGCCGCGGUAAUACGGAAGGUCCGGGCGUUAUCCGGAAUUAUUGGGUUUAAAGGGAGCGCAGGCGGGAGUAUAAGUCAGCUGUUAAAUAUCAGGGCCCAACUCUGUUAUGCAGUUGAAACUAUAUUUCUUGAGUACGCACAGGGAUGGCGGAAUUCAGGGUGUAGCGGUGAAAUGCUUAGAUAUCCUGAAGAACUCCGAUCGCGAAGGCAGCCAUCCGGAGCGUAACUGACGCUGAGGCUCGAAGGUGCGGGUAUCGAACAGGAUUAGAUACCCUGGUAGUCCGCACAGUAAACGAUGGAUGCCCGCUGUUGGUACCUGGUAUCAGCGGCUAAGCGAAAGCAUUAAGCAUCCCACCUGGGGAGUACGCCGGCAACGGUGAAACUCAAAGGAAUUGACGGGGGCCCG
rnacentral:rRNA from 1 species